CUCUUUGAAUAAGUUGGGGUGAUGAAUGA
rnacentral:piRNA from 1 species